rnacentral:rRNA from 1 species
GACGGGGGAUGCAAGUGUUAUCCGGAAUCACUGGGCGUAAAGCGUCUGUAGGUGGUCAAAUAAGUCAACUGUUAAAUCUUGAGGCUCAACCUCAAAAUCGCAGUCGAAACUAUUAGACUAGAGUAUAGUAGGGGUAAAGGGAAUUUCCAGUGGAGCGGUGAAAUGCGUAGAGAUUGGAAAGAACACCGAUGGCGAAGGCACUUUACUGGGCUAUUACUAACACUCAGAGACGAAAGCUAGGGUAGCAAAUGGG